rnacentral:piRNA from 1 species
UGGAGGAUUUCCUUCUCAGUGAGCAGC